UAACGUCUCAGUUCAGAUUGCAGGCUGCAACUCGCCUGCAUGAAGUCGGAAUUGCUAGUAAUCGCAGAUCAGCAUGCUGCGGUGAAUACGUUCCCGGGCCCUUGUACACACCGCCCGUCACACCAUGGGAGUCGGUAACACCCGAAGUCGGUAGCCUAACCGUAAGGAGGGCGCCGCCGAAGGUGGGAUUGAUGACUGGGGUGAAGUCGUAACAAGGUACC
rnacentral:rRNA from 1 species